ACUACCCUCGAGUGGGGAAUAACUUCGGGAAACCGAGGCUAAUACCGCAUAAUACCCACGGGUCAAAGGAGCAAUUCGCUUGAGGAGGAGGUCGCGGCCGAUUAGUUAGUUGGCGGGGUAAUGGCCCACCCAAGACAGUGAUCGGUAUCCGGCCUGAGAGGGCGCACGGACACACUGGAACUGAAACACGGUCCAGACUCCUACGGGAGGCAGCAGUGGGGAAUUUUGCGCAAUGGGGGAAACCCUGACGCAGCAACGCCGCGUGGAGGAUGAAGUCUCUUGGGACGUAAACUCCUUUCGAUCGGGACGAUUAUGACGGUACCGGAAGAAGAAGCCCCGGCUAACUUCGUG
rnacentral:rRNA from 1 species